rnacentral:rRNA from 1 species
AAGUCUAGCCUGCCCACUGAUUUGUUUUAAAGGGCCGCGGUAUAUUGACCGUGCGAAGGUAGCAUAAUCAUUAGUCUUUUAAUUGGAGGCUUGUAUGAAUGGUUGGACAAAAAGUAAGCUGUCUCGGUUAUAAUAAUUGAACUUAACUUUUAAGUGAAAAGGCUUAAAUGUUUCAGGGGGACGAUAAGACCCUAUAAAGCUUGACAAUAAUUUCGUUAUAUUAUAAAUUGUUAGUAUAACUUGAUUUUAACGGGAGUUUGUUUCGUUGGGGCGACGGGAAUAUAAUAAAUAACUGUUCUUUUAAAUAUAAUUACAAAAAUACUUGGUAAACAAUUGAUCCUCUAUUAGAGAUUAAAAGAUUAAGUUACUUUAGGGAUAACAGCGUAAUCUUCUUUGAGAGUCCACAUCGACAAGAAGGUUUGCGACCUCGAUGUUGAAUUAAGGUAUCCUUAUAAUGCAGCAGUUAUAAAGGAGGGUC